rfam:Lactobacillus tucceti DSM 20183 Scaffold2, whole genome shotgun sequence.
AAAACUUUUAAACAAGUCCUGUGAGGCUUGGAAGGUUAAACACGUCACGCGUAAACUUCCUCUCCUUGUGGGUAGGGAGUUUUUUGUU